rnacentral:rRNA from 1 species
UACGUAGGGGGCUAGCGUUGUCCGGAUUUAUUGGGCGUAAAGAGCGUGUAGGCGGCCAGGUAGGUCUGCUGUGAAAACUCGAGGCUCAACCUCGAGACGCCGGUGGAAACUGCAAAGCUAGAGUCCGGAAGAGGAGAGUGGAAUUCCUGGUGUAGCGGUGAAAUGCGCAGAUAUCAGGAAGAACACCCGUGGCGAAGGCGGCUCUCUGGGACGGUACUGACGCUGGGACGCGAAAGCGUGGGGAGCGAACAGG